rnacentral:rRNA from 1 species
GGUUAAGCGACUAAGCGUACACGGUGGAUGCCCUGGCAGUCAGAGGCGAUGAAGGACGUGCUAAUCUGCGAAAAGCGUCGGUAAGGUGAUAUGAACCGUUAUAACCGGCGAUGUCCGAAUGGGGAAACCCAGUGUGAUUCGUCACACUAUCGUUAACUGAAUACAUAGGUUAACGAGGCGAACCGGGGGAACUGAAACAUCUAAGUACCCCGAGGAAAAGAAAUCAACCGAGAUUCCCCCAGUAGCGGCGAGCGAACGGGGAGCAGCCCAGAGUCUGAAUCAGCUUGUGUGUUAGUGGAACGGUCUGGAAAGUCCGACGGUACAGGGUGAUAGUCCCGUACACCAAAAUGCACAGGCUGUGAACUCGAAGAGUAGGGCGGGACACGUGGUAUCCUGUCUGAAUAUGGGGGGACCAUCCUCCAAGGCUAAAUACUCCUGACUGACCGAUAGUGAACCAGUACCGUGAGGGAAAGGCGAAAAGAACCCCGGCGAGGGGAGUGAAAAAGAACCUGAAACCGUGUACGUACAAGCAGUGGGAGCACCUUCGGGUGUGACUGCGUACCUUUUGUAUAAUGGGUCAGCGACUUAUAUUCUGUAGCAAGGUUAACCGUAUAGGGGAGCCGCAGGGAAACCGAGUCUUAACUGGGCGUUAAGUUGCAGGGUAUAGACCCGAAACCCGGUGAUCUAGCCAUGGGCAGGUUGAAGGUUGGGUAACACUAACUGGAGGACCGAACCGACUAAUGUUGAAAAAUUAGCGGAUGACUUGUGGCUGGGGGUGAAAGGCCAAUCAAACCGGGAGAUAGCUGGUUCUCCCCGAAAGCUAUUUAGGUAGCGCCUCGUGAACUCAUCUUCGGGGGUAGAGCACUGUUUCGGCUAGGGGGUCAUCCCGACUUACCAACCCGAUGCAAACUACGAAUACCGAAGAAUGUUAUCACGGGAGACACACGGCGGGUGCUAACGUCCGUCGUGAAGAGGGAAACAACCCAGACCGCCAGCUAAGGUCCCAAAGUCAUGGUUAAGUGGGAAACGAUGUGGGAAGGCACAGACAGCCAGGAUGUUGGCUUAGAAGCAGCCAUCAUUUAAAGAAAGCGUAAUAGCUCACUGGUCGAGUCGGCCUGCGCGGAAGAUGUAACGGGGCUAAACCAUGCACCGAAGCUGCGGCAGCGACACUAUGUGUUGUUGGGUAGGGGAGCGUUCUGUAAGCCUGCGAAGGUGACCUGUGAGGGUUGCUGGAGGUAUCAGAAGUGCGAAUGCUGACAUAAGUAACGAUAAAGCGGGUGAAAAGCCCGCUCGCCGGAAGACCAAGGGUUCCUGUCCAACGUUAAUCGGGGCAGGGUGAGUCGACCCCUAAGGCGAGGCCGAAAGGCGUAGUCGAUGGGAAACAGGUUAAUAUUCCUGUACUUGGUGUUACUGCGAAGGGGGGACGGAGAAGGCUAUGUUAGCCGGGCGACGGUUGUCCCGGUUUAAGCAUGUAGGCUGGUUAUCCAGGCAAAUCCGGAUAAUCAAGGCUGAGGUGUGAUGACGAGGCACUACGGUGCUGAAGUAACAAAUGCCCUGCUUCCAGGAAAAGCCUCUAAGCAUCAGGUAACAUCAAAUCGUACCCCAAACCGACACAGGUGGUCAGGUAGAGAAUACCAAGGCGCUUGAGAGAACUCGGGUGAAGGAACUAGGCAAAAUGGUGCCGUAACUUCGGGAGAAGGCACGCUGGUGUGUAGGUGAAGUCCCUGCGGAUGGAGCUGAGACCAGUCGAAGAUACCAGCUGGCUGCAACUGUUUAUUAAAAACACAGCACUGUGCAAACACGAAAGUGGACGUAUACGGUGUGACGCCUGCCCGGUGCCGGAAGGUUAAUUGAUGGGGUUAUCCGUAAGGAGAAGCUCUUGAUCGAAGCCCCGGUAAACGGCGGCCGUAACUAUAACGGUCCUAAGGUAGCGAAAUUCCUUGUCGGGUAAGUUCCGACCUGCACGAAUGGCGUAAUGAUGGCCAGGCUGUCUCCACCCGAGACUCAGUGAAAUUGAACUCGCUGUGAAGAUGCAGUGUACCCGCGGCAAGACGGAAAGACCCCGUGAACCUUUACUAUAGCUUGACACUGAACAUUGAGCCUUGAUGUGUAGGAUAGGUGGGAGGCUUUGAAGCGUGGACGCCAGUCUGCGUGGAGCCAACCUUGAAAUACCACCCUUUAAUGUUUGAUGUUCUAACGUUGGCCCCUGACCGGGGUUGCGGACAGUGUCUGGUGGGUAGUUUGACUGGGGCGGUCUCCUCCCAAAGCGUAACGGAGGAGCACGAAGGUUAGCUAAUCCUGGUCGGACAUCAGGAGGUUAGUGCAAUGGCAUAAGCUAGCUUGACUGCGAGCGUGACGGCGCGAGCAGGUGCGAAAGCAGGUCAUAGUGAUCCGGUGGUUCUGAAUGGAAGGGCCAUCGCUCAACGGAUAAAAGGUACUCCGGGGAUAACAGGCUGAUACCGCCCAAGAGUUCAUAUCGACGGCGGUGUUUGGCACCUCGAUGUCGGCUCAUCACAUCCUGGGGCUGAAGUAGGUCCCAAGGGUAUGGCUGUUCGCCAUUUAAAGUGGUACGCGAGCUGGGUUUAGAACGUCGUGAGACAGUUCGGUCCCUAUCUGCCGUGGGCGCUGGAGAAUUGAGGGGGGCUGCUCCUAGUACGAGAGGACCGGAGUGGACGCAUCACUGGUGUUCGGGUUGUCAUGCCAAUGGCACUGCCCGGUAGCUAAAUGCGGAAGAGAUAAGUGCUGAAAGCAUCUAAGCACGAAACUUGCCCCGAGAUGAGUUCUCCCUGAGACUUUAAGUCUCCUGAAGGAACGUUAAAGACGAUGACGUUGAUAGGCCGGGUGUGUAAGCGCAGCGAUGCGUUGAGCUAACCGGUACUAAUGAACCGUGAGGCUUAACCUU